CAGGCUCUGACUGAAGACCCCCAGUUUGCUGUAGCUGUUGGUUUCAAGCAGGAGCCCAGAGGAAAAAAUCUCCCGGUCUGUUGGUGCUCCCAUCCCAUGGAGUGACCAAUUCGUGUGGGAGCGACACCG